GACGAACGCUGGCGGCGUGCCUAAUACAUGCAAGUAGAACGCUGAAGGAGGAGCUUGCUUCUCUGGAUGAGUUGCGAACGGGUGAGUAACGCGUAGGUAACCUGCCUGGUAGCGGGGGAUAACUAUUGGAAACGAUAGCUAAUACCGCAUAAUAGUAGAUGUUGCAUGACAUUUGCUUAAAAGGUGCAAUUGCAUCACUACCAGAUGGACCUGCGUUGUAUUAGCUAGUUGGUGGGGUAACGGCUCACCAAGGCGACGAUACAUAGCCGACCUGAGAGGGUGAUCGGCCACACUGGGAAUGAGACACGGCCCAGAAUCCUACGGGAGGCAGCAGGAGGGAAUCUUCGGCAAUGGACGGAAGUCUGACCGAGCAACGCCGCGUGAGUGAAGGAGGGUUUCGGAUCGUAAAGCUCUGUUGUAAGAGAAGAAAGAGUGUGAGAGUGGAAAGUUCACACUGUGACGGUAUCUUAACAGAAAGGGACGGCUAACUACGUG
rnacentral:rRNA from 1 species